CAAGUUAAAUUUAAUAGAAAAAUUUUAUUUACAAUAAAAUUAAAAUUGUGAGAAUCAAUUUAAUUUGA
rnacentral:tRNA from 1 species